GUGGAGGAUGUGUGGAGGUAAAGAAAUAGGUGUCAGGAAAAACUUGAAAAGAUGAAAUGGUGGGUGUUUUAGCUAAAUCUUCAAAGAUGAGUAAGACAUUUUUUUUUUUAGCAAACUGUGGAAGAAGGAGCAUUCCAGACAUUGGGCUUCUUCUAAAUCUUUGGUACCAAGACGUAAUCUGGGAUACUCAUGUCCUUGAGAUAUACAAAAUCCUAAGUCACCUGCUACACCAGAAAAGACCAAUUAAAUGGCAUUCUGCAUUAAUUGUUACGUUAAGUGGAUUUUUAUCAUAUUCGAAUUCUCUACAAAUUAUCAACUUGUGUGUGCUUGGUCAGCUGACCUUCAGCUUUUUUGUUUUUGUUUCUGUAAAUAAGAAUGGACCUUUUAGCAACAACAAGUAAUGUUCUGAGCAUUCACAGACAGUAUAACUUAAUUCUCACCAGAGGUAGAUUUGGAGCAGCUUCUCUGCGAGGUAUUUCCAGGUGCUGACCAGAAUCACUGCAGUAAGAACAGUUCCUGUAUGCUCAGGUGAAUACCUAAAAAUACACACUUAUUCUCCUUUCUGUAGCAGUGAAAGUCAUUUCAACCACCCUACAAAAAGACUUUGAUGUCAACGGGUGUUAGCCUCAGCUAAGCUGUUUCAAAUCCUAUACACACAUUUGGGCGGAUUCCUUCAAAUUCUGAUGAGCUAGCCAAAAGUUACUUUGAAACUGUUACACUCCUUCUGCACCGUUUGCACACAAUUUUUAGUAAGCUCAUCUUGAGUUCAAAGAACUUCAGGGUUUAUUUUUAUAAGUAAGGUUCCACCUUCUCUCAAUGGAAUUCUGAUGUUUUUUGUACUAUAUGUACAGAAAUUUGCUUGAGUCUUUAGGAAUUUAUUUUAGAACCUUGAGAAGUUGUAAUUUCACAUAUAUAUGUUAUUUAGUAUGCCAUACUUACAUUCAAGAACGUGUCGAUUUAAUAUAGCGUGCCUUUUGGGAGAUUAAUUGCAGCAGAUGGUAAUAAAAGUUAGGAAUGUUGAAAUAUGAUAGAUAGAUUUUAAGGCUAUUGGAAGAGUUAGUUUAUUUGGUAGACCACGUAGUCUCUGGUACCCAAACACAGAGCAAAAUGUUGGAAGAGGAAGGGUCUGACCCAAGCAAUUUUAGUAAUCUCUGAUUCUUAAUGGCUUCUUCUGGCAUCACUAUUUCAUUGGUUUUAUCUGAUCCCUGGAGAGGAAAAAAAAUAAUUUCUUUCAUACAUAAUUUAAACAAUUUUUCAAAAAAUCCUAAAGUUUCUCAAAAGACACAUAGAACUAUCAUAUAAAUCAGAGAAAAAAGUUUAAAAAACAUCAUAUUUUCCAACCAUAAGUGGUUCUAAGUUACAAAUGAUACUGCCCCUAGUAUCCUAGUAGGUAUUUUUGGUUGUCAAAAUAAACUGGAGAACUCUACAUGCCUUUACUGUGCAGAAGCCAGGGAUGCUAAACAUCCUGCAAUGCACAUGGCAGCCAGUGACACGAAGAAUUGUCCUACCUAAAAUGUCAACAGGGGGCACAAACUAUAAAAAUAGAUUAGGAGCAGAAAAUUAUCUCUUUCCACUCAUGAUAAAUCACGUGGACAAAAAAAUAGGUAAUGAUACAGAAUAUCCGAAUACUAUAAUUAAAAUGAUAGAUCUAGUUAGUACAGAUCAUAUCUGCACCCUGCAAACAGAGAAAAUAUCUUCUCCAGUA
ensembl:lncRNA